AUUGAACGCUGGCGGCAGGCCUAACACAUGCAAGUCGAACGGUAACAGGAAGCAGCUUGCUGCUUUUCUGACGAGUGGCGGACGGGUGAGUAAUGUCUGGGAAACUGCCUGAUGGAGGGGGAUAACUACUGGAAACGGUAGCUAAUACCGCAUAACGUCGCAAGACCAAAGAGGGGGACCUUCGGGCCUCUUGCCAUCGGAUGUGCCCAGAUGGGAUUAGCUAGUAGGUGGGGUAACGGCUCACCUAGGCGACGAUCCCUAGCUGGUCUGAGAGGAUGACCAGCCACACUGGAACUGAGACACGGUCCAGACUCCUACGGGAGGCAGCAGUGGGGAAUAUUGCACAAUGGGCGCAAGCCUGAUGCAGCCAUGCCGCGUGUAUGAAGAAGGCCUUCGGGUUGUAAAGUACUUUCAGCGGGGAGGAAGGGAGUAAAGUUAAUACCUUUGCUCAUUGACGUUACCCGCAGAAGAAGCACCGGCUAACUCCGUG
rnacentral:rRNA from 1 species